CAGAUUGGAUACGAGUAUGACUAAGAUGAAGAUAAUUGCUUUUUAAAGGAAAAUGCCAGUGAGUGCUGUCAGCAAGAUGAGAAAAUAAGACUUCCCAGCUCUCACCCUCUUGCAAAAACAUUAAUUUGAACAACUAUCCAUGCAUGAAAAUACCUCCACAAGAGCUAAGGGAUCCAGGUGCCCUUGAUCCAGGGAAAGAGGGACAGAGUCAUUACCAUUGAGGUUCCAGAUCAUACUUCCAAUCUUCCUCCAGGCUAGACCUUGAAUUUUGUGUCAAGAAGUCUGGAGAAUAGACUUGGCUCUCUGCUGAUUGGCUCUGUGACUUUGGGCAAGUUCCCUGGCCUCUCUGAGCCUCAGUUUUUUCACCAAUAAUAGAAGAGGUCUGGGAGGAUCACGGCAGAUGGGAAGCAGGACUAGACUGCAGCUCCCACUUGGACAGACAGAGCAGUGUAUGGAGGUUCGCAUCAUGAACUUUUGCUCCAGAACGAUUGCAGGAAUAAAUC
rnacentral:lncRNA from 1 species